GACGAAGGAUGCAAGCGUUAUCCGGAUUCAUUGGGUUUAAAGGGUGCGUAGGCGGACUGAUAAGUCAGUGGUGAAAUCUCUCAGCUUAACUGAGAAACUGCCAUUGAUACUGUUAGUCUAGAGUAUAGAUGACGUUGGCGGAAUAUGACAUGUAGUGGUGAAAUACUUAGAUAUGUCAUAGAACACCGAUUGCGAAGGCAGCUCGCUGGGACGGUACUGACGCUGAGACGCGAAAGCGUGGGGAGCAAACAGG
rnacentral:rRNA from 1 species